rnacentral:rRNA from 1 species
UACGGGGGGGGCAAGCGUUGUUCGGAAUUACUGGGCGUAAAGGGCUCGUAGGUGGCCAACUAAGUCAGACGUGAAAUCCCUCGGCUUAACCGGGGAACUGCGUCUGAUACUGGAUGGCUUGAGUUUGGGAGAGGGACGCGGAAUUCCAGGUGUAGCGGUGAAAUGCGUAGAUAUCGAGAGGAACACCAGUGGCGAAGGCGAGUCUCUGGACAUUUCCUGACGCUGAGGCACGAAAGCCAGGGGAGCAAACGGG